rnacentral:rRNA from 1 species
GAUGAACGCUGGCGGCGUGCCUAAUACAUGCAAGUCGAGCGAACAGACGAGGAGCUUGCUCCUCUGACGUUAGCGGCGGACGGGUGAGUAACACGUGGAUAACCUACCUAUAAGACUGGGAUAACUUCGGGAAACCGGAGCUAAUACCGGAUAAUAUAUUUAACCGCAUGGUUCAAUAGUGAAAGACGGCUUUGCUGUCACUUAUAGAUGGAUCUGCGCCGCAUUAGCUAGUUGGUAAGGUAACGGGUUACCAAGGCAACGAUGCGUAGCCGACCUGAGAGGGUGAGCGGCCACACGGGAACGGAGACACGGUCCAGACUCCUACGGGAGGCAGCAGUAGGGAAUCUUCCGCGAUGGGCGAAAGCUUGACGGAGCAACGCCGCGUGAGUGAUGAAGGUCUGCGGAUCGGAAAACUCUGUUAUUAGGGAAGAACAAAUGUGUAAGUAACUAUGCACGUCUUGACGGUACCUAAUCAGAAAGCCACGGCUAACUACGUG